rnacentral:rRNA from 1 species
GCCUAACACAUGCAAGUCGAGCGGUAGCACAGGAGAGCUUGCUCUCCGGGUGACGAGCGGCGGACGGGUGAGUAAUGUCUGGGAAACUGCCUGAUGGAGGGGGAUAACUACUGGAAACGGUAGCUAAUACCGCAUAACGUCGCAAGACCAAAGUGGGGGACCUUCGGGCCUCAUGCCAUCAGAUGUGCCCAGAUGGGAUUAGCUAGUAGGUGGGGUAAUGGCUCACCUAGGCGACGAUCCCUAGCUGGUCUGAGAGGAUGACCAGCCACACUGGAACUGAGACACGGUCCAGACUCCUACGGGAGGCAGCAGUGGGGAAUAUUGCACAAUGGGCGCAAGCCUGAUGCAGCCAUGCCGCGUGUAUGAAGAAGGCCUUCGGGUUGUAAAGUACUUUCAGCGAGGAGGAAGGCAUUAAGGUUAAUAACCUUAGUGAUUGACGUUACUCGCAGAAGAAGCACCGGCUAACUCCGUGCCAGCAGCCGCGGUAAUACGGAGGGUGCAAGCGUUAAUCGGAAUUACUGGGCGUAAAGCGCACGCAGGCGGUUUGUUAAGUCAGAUGUGAAAUCCCCGGGCUCAACCUGGGAACUGCAUUUGAAACUGGCAAGCUUGAGUCUUGUAGAGGGGGGUAGAAUUCCAGGUGUAGCGGUGAAAUGCGUAGAGAUCUGGAGGAAUACCGGUGGCGAAGGCGGCCCCCUGGAC